UACGUAGGGUGCAGGCGUUAUUCGGAAUUACUGGGCGUAAAGCGUGCGCAGGCGGUUUGCCAAGACAGGUGUGAAAUCCCCGGGCUUAACCUGGGAACUGCGGUUGUUACUGGCAAGCUGGAGUGUGGCAGAGGGGGGUGGAAUUCCACGUGUAGCAGUGAAAUGCGUAGAGAUGUGGAGGAACACCGAUGGCGAAGGCAGCCCCCUGGGCUAACACUGACGCUCAUGCACGAAAGCGUGGGGAGCAAACAGG
rnacentral:rRNA from 1 species